AUACGGAGGGGGCAAGCGUUGUUCGGAAUUACUGGGCGUAAAGGGCGCGUAGGCGGUCGGGUGUGUCUGGCGUGAAAGCCCUUGGCUCAACCAAGGAAUUGCGUCUUAUACUGCCUGACUUGAGUCCGGGAGAGGAGAGUGGAAUUCCCAGUGUAGCGGUGAAAUGCGUAGAUACUGGGAGGAACACCGGUGGCGAAGGCGGCUCUCUGGACCGGUACUGACGCUGAGGCGCGAAAGCUAGGGGAGCAAACAGGAUUAGAUACCCGAGUAGUCC
rnacentral:rRNA from 1 species